rnacentral:rRNA from 2 species
GUGCCAGCAGCCGCGGUAAUACGUAGGUGGCAAGCGUUGUCCGGAUUUACUGGGCGUAAAGGAUGCGUAGGCGGAUGUUUAAGUGAGAUGUGAAAUACCCGAGCUCAACUUGGGUGCUGCAUUUCAAACUGGAUAUCUAGAGUGCAGGAGAGGAAAGCGGAAUUCCUAGUGUAGCGGUGAAAUGCGUAGAGAUUAGGAAGAACACCAGUGGCGAAGGCGGCUUUCUGGACUGUAACUGACGCUGAGGCAUGAAAGCGUGGGGAGCAAACAGGAUUAGAUACCCUGGUAGUCC